rnacentral:rRNA from 1 species
AGCUCACUGGUCGAGUCGGCCUGCGCGGAAGAUGUAACGGGGCUAAACCAUGCACCGAAGCUGCGGCAGCGACACUCAGGUGUUGUUGGGUAGGGGAGCGUUCUGUAAGCCUGUGAAGGUGUGUCGUGAGGCAUGCUGGAGGUAUCAGAAGUGCGAAUGCUGACAUAAGUAACGAUAAAGCGGGUGAAAAGCCCGCUCGCCGGAAGACCAAGGGUUCCUGUCCAACGUUAAUCGGGGCAGGGUGAGUCGACCCCUAAGGCGAGGCCGAAAGGCGUAGUCGAUGGGAAACGGGUUAAUAUUCCCGUACUUGGUGUUACUGCGAAGGGGGGACGGAGAAGGCUAUGUUGGCCGGGCGACGGUUGUCCCGGUUUAAGCGUGUAGGUGUGUGUUCCAGGUAAAUCCGGUUCACUUUAACACUGAGGCGUGAUGACGAGGCACUACGGUGCUGAAGCAACAAAUGCCCUGCUUCCAGGAAAAGCCUCUAAGCAUCAGGUAACAUCAAAUCGUACCCCAAACCGACACAGGUGGUCAGGUAGAGAAUACCAAGGCGCUUGAGAGAACUCGGGUGAAGGAACUAGGCAAAAUGGUGCCGUAACUUCGGGAGAAGGCACGCUGACACGUAGGUGAAGUGAUUUACUCAUGGAGCUGAAGUCAGUCGAAGAUACCAGCUGGCUGCAACUGUUUAUUAAAAACACAGCACUGUGCAAACACGAAAGUGGACGUAUACGGUGUGACGCCUGCCCGGUGCCGGAAGGUUAAUUGAUGGGGUCAGCGCAAGCGAAGCUCCUGAUCGAAGCCCCGGUAAACGGCGGCCGUAACUAUAACGGUCCUAAGGUAGCGAAAUUCCUUGUCGGGUAAGUUCCGACCUGCACGAAUGGCGUAAUGAUGGCCAGGCUGUCUCCACCCGAGACUCAGUGAAAUUGAACUCGCUGUGAAGAUGCAGUGUACCCGCGGCAAGACGGAAAGACCCCGUGAACCUUUACUAUAGCUUGACACUGAACAUUGAGCCUUGAUGUGUAG